rnacentral:rRNA from 1 species
UACGAAGGGGGCUAGCGUUGCUCGGAAUCACUGGGCGUAAAGGGUGCGUAGGCGGGUCUUUAAGUCAGGGGUGAAAUCCUGGAGCUCAACUCCAGAACUGCCUUUGAUACUGAGGAUCUUGAGUACGGGAGAGGUGAGUGGAACUGCGAGUGUAGAGGUGAAAUUCGUAGAUAUUCGCAAGAACACCAGUGGCGAAGGCGGCUCACUGGCCCGUUACUGACGCUGAGGAGCGAAAGCGUGGGGAGCGAACAGG